CCUAGCGCCGAUUUUUCUUCUCCUCUUCCGAGUUUAGGUUGCCUCCAAGUUGUGCUGUUCGGGGGAGUUAGUAAUUAGGGUUUGCUGUUGGUUGUCUUGGCUUCGGCAGCCAUUUUCCAGCGGCUACCUUUCUCUGGUAGCAACAUCCCUGCUGUGGGUGAGUGUAGGGGAAUCUUGAAGAGAAGUGUUUACUGUAAGUUUUCUUGGAUUUGGCAGCUACUUUCAUCCAGCAGCAAGGAACCGCUGUGGAGGUUAAGGACCUUGACGCGAGACGAGUAUCUCGGAGUCAGAUUGGACCUUUCUAUUUUCGGAGG